GACGAACGCUGGCGGCGUGCCUAAUACAUGCAAGUCGAGCGGGGAUUAUGCUUGAUCGCUUCGGUGAGACGGCAUAUAUCCUAGCGGCGGACGGGUGAGUAACGCGUGGGUAAUCUACCUCGUAGUUCGGGAUAACAGGCCGAAAGGCUUGCUAAUACCGGAUGAGUUCAUGCUUAUGCAUAUAGGCAUGAAGAAAGGGCUAGCCCGCUAUGAGAUGAGCCCGCGUCCCAUUAGCUUGUUGGUGGGGUAAUGGCCUACCAAGGCAACGAUGGGUAGCCGGCCUGAGAGGGUGUACGGCCACACUGGGACUGAGACACGGCCCAGACUCCUACGGGGGGCAGCAGUAGGGAAUUUUCGGCAAUGGGCGAAAGCCUGACCGAGCGACGCCGCGUGAGGGACGAAGGCCUUCGGUUGUAACCUCUGUCUGGGGGAGUGAGAACGGACGGUACCCCGGACGGAAGCCCCGGCGUAACUACGUGCCAGCAGCCGCGGUAAAUAGCGUACU
rnacentral:rRNA from 1 species